rnacentral:rRNA from 1 species
AGAGUUUGAUCCUGGCUCAGGAUGAACGCUGGCGGUAUGCUUAACACAUGCAAGUCGAACGGUGUCUUCGGACACAGUGGCGGACGGGUGAGUAACGCGUGAGAAUCUGCCAUCAGGUCUGGGACAACCACUGGAAACGGUGGCUAAUACCGGAUGUGCCGAGAGGUGAAAGGUUAACUGCCUGAUGAUGAGCUCGCGUCUGAUUAGCUAGUUGGCAGUGUAAUGGACUACCAAGGCGACGAUCAGUAGCUGGUCUGAGAGGAUGAUCAGCCACACUGGGACUGAGACACGGCCCAGACUCCUACGGGAGGCAGCAGUGGGGAAUUUUCCGCAAUGGGCGAAAGCCUGACGGAGCAAUACCGCGUGAGGGAGGAAGGCUCUUGGGUCGUAAACCUCUUUUCUCAGGGAAGAACAAAAUGACGGUACCUGAGGAAUAAGCAUCGGCUAACUCCGUGCCAGCAGCCGCGGUAAUACGGAGGAUGCAAGCGUUAUCCGGAAUGAUUGGGCGUAAAGCGUCCGCAGGUGGCUAUGUAAGUCUGCUGUUAAAGCGUCUAGCUCAACUAGAUAAGAGCAGUGGAAACUACAAGGCUAGAGUGCGUUCGGGGCAGAGGGAAUUCCUGGUGUAGCGGUGAAAUGCGUAGAGAUCAGGAAGAACACCGGUGGCGAAGGCGCUCUGCUAGGCCGCAACUGACACUGAGGGACGAAAGCUAGGGGAGCGAAUGGGAUUAGAUACCCCAGUA